rnacentral:rRNA from 1 species
UACGGUGGGGGCAAGCGUUGUUCGGAAUUACUGGGCGUAAAGGGCUCGUAGGCGGCCAACUAAGUCGGACGUGAAAUCCCCAGGCUCAACCUGGGAACUGCGUCCGAUACUGGAUGGCUUGAAUCCGGGAGAGGGAUGCAGAAUUCCAGGUGUAGCGGUGAAAUGCGUAGAUAUCUGGAGGAAUACCGGUGGCGAAGGCGGCAUCCUGGACCGGCAUUGACGCUGAGGAGCGAAAGCCAGGGGAGCAAACGGG